rnacentral:lncRNA from 1 species
GAGCCUAUAUCCAUUUUUUGUUUAAAACACCAUGAAUGUAACCAUUGGCCAAAAACACUUCCUCACCCUGUUCAAAGUCAUGAGAAUACAUUCCAAUUAUGUUGAAAAGCUAAGUUUGGGGUAAAAAACCCCAAAAGCUCUCAAAGCCCUAGAAAGUGCAAAAACAAAAGAAAAAGAAAAAUUGAUGAAUCGAGAAAAAGAAAGAAAAAUAAAAAUCAAAUAAUCGAUGAUUCAAAAGAAAAAGCACGAAAAAGAGGAGUCGGUAAAAAUUC